CCCAUACCGAACAGAGAAGUUAAGCCCCUCAUGGCCGAUGGUACUGCACCAAAAUGCGGGAGAGUAGGUAGCUGCCGUAA
rnacentral:rRNA from 1 species